AAUCAAUUUUUAAAAAAAAAAAAACCAUUUUGCCAAAGUUUUAAAAAAAAAUUUCCAAAGCCCUUUUUUUUUCUCUCUAGUCUCCUCAUGUUCGGCACCGAGGUCCAGUGAGUCCUUGCAGCGACCGCCGGUCGCCGACGACAGACUCCGUUGUUCUUGGUGGACGAAAAAUUCCAAAAGUUUCAUCGUUUUGUCCUUUUUUCUGUUUAAAACUCCGAUUUGGAGUCAAAAACACUAAACUAAAGCCUAAACCCCAAGAAAAAAGGAAAACCUUUUUGUUUCCAGCGCUCUCUUCGCAGCGGCCUUAGCCAAAUCCUUAGGGACCCAAAGGCCUUUUGGACUGGAAGGGGUAACGACGGUGGUACAAAAACCAAUCGGCAGCAAAGUCAAUGGAGAAGAGAGAGGUCUGCGCUUGCCAUUUUGGUGCAACAGCAGCAAGGGCACGUCAGGCCUCGGGCUACGAGCACACUGACGAGGCAGGAAGAGCGACACCAAGGGAAAUUUAGGGUUUUAGUGUUUUUGAAUUAGUUUAGGUUAUGGCUUUAGAAUUUGGGUUAGGGUGUUCUGUUUUGGGCUAUUUGUUCCCUUUCCCCCUUCCUUACUACCCUGAUCUAGUGCUUUUCGCCAGCUAGUAACACUUCUCAGCACUAGUCUCUGGCAUUCAUAAUUGAUCUUCCCCUUUUCGUCUUUCGUUGUCGAAAUCUGCACUGCACCAAUUGGCAACGAUGUUCAUCUUCCUCUCUCGAAGUUAUUCCUUAUAACCAGAAUCAUUUGAGGAGGAUAACAUGCAGUAAAACUAAAUUGCAAGUGGAUAUAGAAACCAAGGAUCAAUCAGGAACUGCGAUUCAGAUUCAUCUGAAAGAAACAUUGCUAUUCUGGAGAGCGAUGUGUUUGCAACAAAAACUACAAAAGAUGCCUCUACACCAUGCAAGAAUGCACAGAGUGGUAGGAGAGAUCAGGGCAAGAAGAGAAAGGCAGUUUAUCCGGAUAAGCAAGGCCGACAAUUUUCACCUUGAAAUCAUCUACCCCGGACUCGCUCCCAAAAUAAGUCCCACCAUGGGAAGUAUGGGAAGUUAGAGGAACUAUUAGCAAUUAGAACUUAUAUUGCUAGCUCUAGUGUACCAAACAUUAGCUAUCUAACAAAAACUAAUUGCUCUACGUAUUGUAAAGGUCGAGCAUGACAAAAAGAUGUUGCAGGCUAGCGUUUUUGUUGAUAGAUUAUGAGUACUUGCUCUAUGAACAUCAAUAUGCAGUAAUCUUUUGAA